rnacentral:tRNA from 1 species
GGUGAUGUGGCUCAAUGGUAGAGUUCUUGCCUUGGACACAAGAGCCUGGGUUUGAUCUCUAGCUCCAUCA